rnacentral:rRNA from 1 species
GAACGCUGGCGGCAUGCCUUACACAUGCAAGUCGAACGGCAGCACGGGAGCCAAUCCUGGUGGCGAGUGGCGAACGGGUGAGUAAUAUAUCGGAACGUGCCCAGUCGUGGGGGAUAACGUAGCGAAAGCUACGCUAAUACCGCAUACGAUCUAUGGAUGAAAGCGGGGGAUCGCAAGACCUCGCGCGAUUGGAGCGGCCGAUAUCAGAUUAGGUAGUUGGUGAGGUAAAGGCUCACCAAGCCGACGAUCUGUAGCUGGUCUGAGAGGACGACCAGCCACACUGGGACUGAGACACGGCCCAGACUCCUACGGGAGGCAGCAGUGGGGAAUUUUGGACAAUGGGCGCAAGCCUGAUCCAGCAAUGCCGCGUGCAGGAUGAAGGCCUUCGGGUUGUAAACUGCUUUUGUACGGAACGAAACGGUGAGCUCUAAUACAGUUUGCUAAUGACGGUACCGUAAGAAUAAGCACCGGCUAACUACGUG